rnacentral:lncRNA from 12 species
AUGAGGACCCCGAGGCUCGGGUGGCGAGGAGGGAACCCGGGGAAGCUGCCCAGGCCUGUCUGCUUCCAGGUCCCACCCCGGGCCCAUAAGGCCAGGCCCAGCCCGUGUCGGGACAGCAGCCCAGCCCGAGGGUCCCCGGGGCUCGGCCUGCGGAAGCCCGUCCAGCUUCUGACCAGGGGCCCGCGCCCAACUCCAGCGAGCGUUGCUGAAGCACGUGGCCAUCGUGUGGUGUCACGGGCCGUGUGGCUGCGCCCCAGGACUGAGCGUGCACCCCUAAAGCACGGCGGCUGGCUCAGGGGUGAGCCCCCUGGAGGGAGGGCCGGGCCCGCUCAGCCGGGUGGUGGCGGGGGGCACACAGCUCUCUGGGAGGAAGAAGGAUGGGGGGUUGGCGGGCUCACUGUGUAGUGGGACACUUCCCUCGUCUUGGGUGUGUUGUCUGAUGACAGCUCUGUUGGCGCGGCUCACACACCCUGUGUUCACCCGUUAGCGUGCGCAAUGAAGCCAUUUUCACUGUAUUUGCAGAGUUGUGCAGCCAUCAUGUGCCCGUCAGUCUGAAACCUGGUGCCGUACCCACUGCUCCGCACCCCCUCCUCGGCCGGAGGCAGCCACCGAGCCACUUGUUGUCUUAGGAGUUGCUUACUCUGGACAGCUCGUGGAAGCAAAGCUGCAGCAUGCGACCUCUUACGUCUGCCUUCUUUCCCUCAGCAUGAUUUCCAGAUUCAUCCGUGUCGUAGCUCUGUCAGCGCGUUGUUCCUUUUAAUGGUUGAAUAAUAUUCCUUUGUACAGAUUUUAUUUCUUUACUCAUCGUGUGUUAGACAUUUGUGUUGCUUCUACUUUUUGGCCACUUUGAAUAAAGCUGCUAUGGACAUGUGUGUAUGAAUUUUC